GACGAACGCUGGCGGCGUGCUUAACACAUGCAAGUCGAACGGAAAGGCCCUGCUUGCAGGGUACUCGAGUGGCGAACGGGUGAGUAACACGUGGGUGAUCUGCCCUGCACUUCGGGAUAAGCUUGGGAAACUGGGUCUAAUACCGGAUAGGAGCCAUCUUUAGUGUGGUGGUUGGAAAGUUUUUUCGGUGUAGGAUGAGCUCGCGGCCUAUCAGCUUGUUGGUGGGGUAAUGGCCUACCAAGGCGGCGACGGGUAGCCGGCCUGAGGGGGUGUACGGCCACAUUGGGACUGAGAUACGGCCCAGACUCCUACGGGAGGCAGCAGUGGGGAAUAUUGCACAAUGGGCGCAAGCCUGAUGCAGCGACGCCGCGUGGGGGAUGAAGGCCUUCGGGUUGUAAACUCCUUUCGCUAGGGACGAAGCUUUGUUGUGACGGUACCUAGAUAAGAAGCACCGGCUAACUACGUG
rnacentral:rRNA from 1 species